rnacentral:lncRNA from 1 species
GCGGAACAAGGAUCCCAUCUUGCACGUGCUGCGGCAGUACCUGGAUCCGGCCCAGCGUGGCGUCCGCGUCCUCGAGGUGGCCUCGGGCUCCGGCCAGCACGCAGCGCACUUCGCGCGGGCCUUCCCCCUGGCCGAGUGGCAGCCGUCGGACGUGGACCAGCGCUGCCUGGACAGGUGCGGCCCCCGGGGCGGCCACUUCUAUCGGUGCGGCGGUCCGGGGCCUCAAGAGCCCACGGCCCGCAGCCCCGGAGGAAAAGGAUGCGGCUCGGGCUCUGAGGGUGCGGGGUGGGAGCCUGGGGGUGCCCCCGGGGCAGGCCCUAGCUGUGCGGCCCCCGCGGCUGCGGAAGUGGGUGGACCUCGGGGUCCCCCUUCCCAGCCGCUUUGGUCUCCGCUCCUCAACGUGCCCCCCAGCCUCCCCUAAGAAAUUCUGUGGGGGCGUCGGAAAGGCGGGUGCACAGGACUCGGCCCCCACCCAAGCGUUCGCCUCCUGCAGCAUCGCGGCCACCACGCAAGCCCAGGGCCUGACCAACGUGAAGGCCCCGCUACACCUGGACGUGACGUGGGGCUGGGAGCACUGGGGCGGGAUCCUGCCACAGUCGCUGGACCUGUUGCUCUGCAUCAACAUGGCCCAUGUCAGCCCCCUGCGCUGCACGGAGGGGCUCUUCAGAGCAGCAGGACACCUGCUCAAACCCAGGGCCCUGCUCAUCACCUACGGG